rnacentral:lncRNA from 1 species
ACAAAAUCCCUAGAUCUCUCCUGUUGCUCCCCACGCACGCCGGCGCCCACGCCUCCGACCGCCGCCCCGCGCCGCCCGGGGCUACCGCCGGUCUAUCCCACCGCUGCCCCACGCCGCCCUUCCUCUGUAGCACCGCCCCACGCUGCCCUUCCUCUGUAGCACCGCCCCACGCUGCCCUGUCCCUACAGCGCAGCCCAACUCCGUCCCGCCUCUCUCCGCCGCCGGCUCCACACCCUCGUGAUCUCUCUCCGGUUGGCCGCCUCUUUCCAACAUCCCGGGCCCGACCUCCCCAUCUCCACCUUCCAGCUCACGAAGACACACGCAGCGGCAAAUUUGGAUGGGGGCAGCGUGCGCCUGGGCAAGGGCAUCUCUCUCUGUCUUUGGCUGGGCAGGGGCACAGAAGCGGCUGAGGUACAAGCUCCUCCCUCCAUACAUUCCUCUGUCUUUGGUCCAGUUAUUUUGCCGCAUCAAUUUUGUAUUACAAAGUUUGUUAAGAGAUGAACUGGGAGUGAAGGAGUUUGUUGUGGAUGACUCCGUUAUUUGCCCCUUCAGUACUCUGUUGGUAGACGCUGUUUAUGUAGAUUUAAUAUUUUUUAUAGUACUGAGUUAUGUUAGAUUUAAUUUUUAUUACAGUACUAAGUUCUGUUGGCAGCCUGCAGCUUCUUUGUCAAAAAAUGUGAAAAUAACUUGGUUCUCUCGAAAGUGAAGCUUCUUUGUAGCACCAAUGGAUGUGUUUCUAGUGUUUGUGCUGCUCCAGCUAAUCACAUUUCUGGGAUGAGUUCACGACAAUGGCGCGUCAGCAUACCGCCAUCCAACUGCCCAAAUACUCAACUUUUUCUUACAGAAAUCUUCUUCAUGCUUUACUUUCUUACUGAAUUUUUCUUCAUGCCGCCCAAGAAAAACAACAGAACAAUAGUUCUUACUUCCUUGAAAGAUGGCUCAAGACAAACAUAGACAGCCUUGUGACAUGGUUGUCUUGCUUUCCUUGUUUCACUUCAUUUUAGUGUACACCACUUUGCUGGAGAACCACAUCCAGCCGGAGGAAAGAACCAUGGAAUCACAAUGCAGAACUCCCGCUGCAUAGUUCUUGCUUCCCGCCUCUCAAAGAAAAGGACCUGGCCCACAAUGGCCUGAAUCAAGCUCAUCUUGAAUCUUGGUAUCAUAUAGACAUAUAGAUAGGUUUAUUAUUGUCAUGUUUCCCUGCAAGCAACUACAACCAAAAUUAACCUAGAAACUAACACUAUGCAGACUGAUUAUGCUGCAUACAAAAGAUAUUGUGGAUUAGUAUAUGCAUUUCUUGUUAUAAAUAUUUUUCCAUUUGUUGUUAUAAAUAUUUUUCCUAUACAAAUUCCAAAGGACCAGAGCAGUCACCAUGAUUGUCAAAUUUCCUUCAAUGCCAAGGUCAAAUAUUGUGUGGAAACAUUUAUGAUGCAAUAAUCACUUCUGCUACUGAAACUUUGCAUCUGACCGGACUAUACAGUGCCAAGAUGUCCUCCAUGGGGUGGGGUAAUAUAACUGGUGGCACAAACUUACUUUUACAACUAAGGGGCAAACAAUGGGCAUACGGGCCAAACAAUGGAUCGCAAUAGGAUGUAGCACAAGCCUCUCGGUUCUCUCUAUACAUAUGACCUGACAUUCAUCUCUCUCAUUUUUUCUGCAGUUAAACAGAGGACAACUGUUUGUAACAUUGAGCCGAUGAAGAGAAGUAGCAGAAUAUUCGACGCCACCUUAGUGCAUAAGG